UACGGGGGGAGCAAGCGUUGUUCGGAUUUACUGGGCGUAAAGGGCGCGUAGGCGGUCAGCACAAGUCAGUUGUGAAAUCUCCGAGCUUAACUCGGAAAGGUCAACUGAUACUGUGCGACUAGAGUGCGGAAGGGGCAACUGGAAUUCUUGGUGUAGCGGUGAAAUGCGUAGAGAUGUGGAGGAACACCGAUGGCGAAGGCAGCCUCCUGGGCCAACACUGACGCUCAUGCACGAAAGCGUGGGGAGCAAACAGG
rnacentral:rRNA from 1 species